rnacentral:lncRNA from 1 species
AUGUCCCCAACUGUCCCCAGAUGGCCCCAGAGAUGGCCCCAGAUGGCCCCAGCUGGCCCCAGAUGUCCCCAACUGUCCCCAGAGAUGGCCCCAAAAGCAGCCCCAGAAAUGGCCCCUGGCAUUCCCGGUUUGGCCCCAAGGGGGUUUUGUCACCCGUGGUGUCCCCAGGGUCACUGUCCUCAGGGAUCCUUGUCACCCUGUCCCCAUCCCUGUCCCCAUCCCUGUCCCCAGGGUCACUGUCCCCAGGGGUCCCUGUCACCCCGUCCCCAUCCCUGUCCCCAAGGGGUCCCUGUCACCCCGUCCCCAUCCCUGUCCCCAUCCCUGUCCCCAAGGGUCACUGUCCCAAGGGUGUCACCCUGUCCCCAUCCCUGUCCCCAUCCCUGUCCCCAGGGGGUCCCCACCACUGUCCCUGUCCCCAUCCCUGUCCCCAUUCCUGUCCCCAGGGGUCCCUGUCCCCAGUGGAUCAUUGUCACCACAGUGUCCCUGACCCCAGGGGUCCCUGUCACCCUGUCCCCAUCCCUGUCCCCAGCCCUGUCCCCAAGGGUCACUGUCCCAAGGCUGUCCCCCUGUCCCCAUCCCUGUCCCCAGGGGGUCACUGUCACUGGUGGGUUCCUGUCCCCAGGGGUCCCCACCACUGUCCCUGUCCCCAUCCCUGUCCUCAGGGGUCCCUGUCACCCUGUCCCCAUCCCUCUCCCCAGGGGGUCACUGUCACUGGUGGGUUCCUGUCCCCAGGGGUCCCCACCACUGUCCCUGUCCCCAUCCCUGUCCCCAUCCCUGUCCCCAGGGGUCCCUGGUAACCCUGUCCCCAUCCCUGUCCCCAUCCCUGUCCCCAAGGGUCACUGUCCCAAGGGUGUCACCCUGUCCCCAUCCCUGUCCCCAUCCCUGUCUCCAAGGGUCCCUGUCACCCUGUCCCCAGGGGUCCCCACCACUGUCCCUGUCCCCAUUCCUGUCCCCAGCCCUGUCCCCAUCCCUCUCCCCAGGGGGUCACUGUCACUGGUGGGUUCCUGUCCCCAGGGAGUCCCCACCACUGUCCCUGUCCCCAUCCCUGUCCCCAUCCCUGUCCCCAGCCCUGUCCCCAGGGGGUCCCCACCACUGUCCCUGUCCCCAUCCCUGUCCCCAGCCCUGUCCCCAGCCCUGUCCCCAUCCCUGUCCCCAGCCCUGUCCCCAGGGGGUCCCCACAGCCAGGUGUCCCCUGAGCCUCCCCUUCCUCGGGUGUACUGGGAGCACUGGGGGAUACUGGGGAUACUGGGGGGAUACUGGGGGAUACUGGGAGAUACUGGGGGAUACUGGGAGCACUGGGGGAUACUGGGGGGAUAC